rnacentral:rRNA from 1 species
AUUGAACGCUGGCGGCAGGCCUAACACAUGCAAGUCGAACGGUAACAGGAAGCAGCUUGCUGCUUCGCUGACGAGUGGCGGACGGGUGAGUAAUGUCUGGGAAGCUGCCUGAUGGAGGGGGAUAACUACUGGAAACGGUAGCUAAUACCGCAUAAUGUCGCAAGACCAAAGAGGGGGACCUUCGGGCCUCUUGCCAUCGGAUGUGCCCAGAUGGGAUUAGCUUGUUGGUGGGGUAACGGCUCACCAAGGCGACGAUCCCUAGCUGGUCUGAGAGGAUGACCAGCCACACUGGAACUGAGACACGGUCCAGACUCCUACGGGAGGCAGCAGUGGGGAAUAUUGCACAAUGGGCGCAAGCCUGAUGCAGCCAUGCCGCGUGUAUGAAGAAGGCCUUCGGGUUGUAAAGUACCUUCAGCGGGGAGGAAGGGAGUAAAGUUAAUACCUUGGCUCAUUGACGUUACCCGCAGAAGAAGCACCGGCUAACUCCGUG